rnacentral:rRNA from 1 species
UACGUAGGGUGCAAGCGUUGUCCGGAAUUAUUGGGCGUAAAGAGCUCGUAGGCGGUUUGUCGCGUCGGAUGUGAAAACCCGGGGCUCAACCCCGGGCCUGCAUUCGAUACGGGCAGACUAGAGUUCGGUAGGGGAGUCUGGAAUUCCUGGUGUAGCGGUGAAAUGCGUAGAGAUCGGAAAGAACACCAACGGCGAAAGCACUCUGCUGGGCCGACACUGACACUGAGAGACGAAAGCUAGGGGAGCGAAUGGG